AGUCGACGCACGAAGUUGAAGAGCUUGCUCUUUAACUAAGUGAGUGGCGGACGGGUGAGUAACACGUGGGUAACCUGCCCAUUAGAGGGGGAUAACAUUCGGAAACGGAUGCUAAUACCGCAUAGUUUCAGGAAUCGCAUGAUUCUUGAAGGAAAGGUGGCUUCGGCUACCACUAAUGGAUGGACCCGCGGCGUAUUAGCUAGUUGGUGAGGUAAUGGCUCACCAAGGCAAUGAUACGUAGCCGACCUGAGAGGGUGAUCGGCCACACUGGGACUGAGACACGGCCCAGACUCCUACGGGAGGCAGCAGUAGGGAAUCUUCCGCAAUGGACGAAAGUCUGACGGAGCAACGCCGCGUGAGUGAAGAAGGUUUUCGGAUCGUAAAACUCUGUUGUUAAAGAAGAACAAGGAUGAGAGUAACUGCUCAUCCCCUGACGGUAUUUAACCAGAAAGCCACGGCUAACUACGUGCCAGCAGCCGCGGUAAUACGUAGGUGGCAAGCGUUGUCCGGAUUUAUUGGGCGUAAAGCGAGCGCAGGCGGUUCUUUAAGUCUGAUGUGAAAGCCCCCGGCUCAACCGGGGAGGGUCAUUGGAAACUGGAGAACUUGAGUGCAGAAGAGGAGAGUGGAAUUCCACGUGUAGCGGUGAAAUGCGUAGAUAUGUGGAGGAACACCAGUGGCGAAGGCGACUCUCUGGUCUGUAACUGACGCUGAGGCUCGAAAGCGUGGGGAGCAAACA
rnacentral:rRNA from 1 species